UUUAAGAGUUUGAUCCUAGCUCAGGAUGAACGCUGGCGGCGUGGAUAAGGCAUGCAAGUCAAACGGGUGGUGCAUCAGUGGCGAACGAGGUAGUAACACGUGGGUUACAUCCCCCAAAGUCAGGAAUAACUAAUCGAAAGAUUAGCUAAUACUUGAUAAUCUCUUCGGAGUAAAGAUUUAUCGCUUUGGGAAUGGCCUGCGGAGUAUCAGCUAGUUGGUAGUGUAAUGGACUACCAAGGCUAUGACGCUUAGGGGAGCUGAGAGGCUGACCCCCACCGAUGGAACUGAGACACGGUCCAUACACCUACGGGUGGCCGCAGUCGAGAAUCUUCCGCAAUGGACGAAAGUCUGACGGAGCGACGCCGCGUGAUGGAUGAAGUCCCUAGGGACGUAAACAUCUUUUAUGAGGGAGAAAGUUUAUUGAUAGUACCUCACGAAUAAGGGGUUGCUAAACUCGUGCCAGCAGCAGCGGUAAUACGAGUGCCCCGAGCGUUAUCCAGAAUUAUUGGGCGUAAAGGGUGUGUAGGUGGCAGUGUUAGUCAAACGUUAAAGCCCGGAGCUUAACUCCGGAAGUGCGUUUGAAACGGCACAGCUAGAGGAUGCGAGGGAUGAAUGGAACUCAUGGAGUAGGGGUGAAAUCCGUUGAUAUCAUGGGGAACACCAAAAGCGAAGGCAGUUCAUUGGCGCACUCCUGACACUGAAACACGAAAGCGUGGGUAGCGAAUGGGAUUAGAUACCCCAGUAGUCCACGCCCUAAACGAUGACAACUAGCUUUUCGGAGUAUCGACCCUCUGAGAGGCGAAGCUAACGCGUUAAGUUGUCCGCCUGGGUAGUACGACCGCAAGGUUAAAACUCAAAGGAAUAGACGGGGACUUGCACAAGCAGAGGAUUAUGUGGUUUAAUUCGAUGAUAAACGAAAAACCUUACCAAGGUUUGAAACCUAACUGAAUAGAAGCAGAAACGUUUCUAGUCUCACAAGGACAGUUAGGCAGGUGAUGCAUGGCCGUCGUCAGUUCGUGAUUUGAAUUGUUCCCUUAAGUGGGGUAACGAACGCAACCCUCGUUGUCUGUUAUACGUAUCAGGCGCUGGGAGGAAGGCGAGGAUGACGCCAGGUCAGCAUGUCCCUUUGAUACCUUGGGCUACACACAUAAUACAAUGGCGACCACAACGCGUUGCGACGGGGUAACCCUGAGCUAAUCGUAAUAAAAGUCGCCCCAGUUCAGAUUGGGGGCUGAAACUCGACCCCAUGAAGUUGGAUUUGCUAGUAAUCGCGGGUCAGCUAUACCGCGGUGAAUACGUUCUCAAGUCUUGUACUCACCGCCCGUCAACUCAAGGGAACCGGGAAUACCCGAAGUCUAGCGUAUGCUAGCCCACGGUAAAUUCGGUAACAGGGAGUAAGUCGUAACAAGGCACGGCUAGCGGAAGCUGGUCGUGGAAUAA
rnacentral:rRNA from 1 species